rnacentral:rRNA from 1 species
UCUGUGAAGGUGCUGCAUGGUUGUCGUCAGCUCGUGCCGUGAGGUGUCGGCUUAAGUGCCAUAACGAGCGCAACCCUUGUUGUCAGUUACUAACAGGUUCCGCUGAGGACUCUGACAAGACUGCCAUCGUAAGAUGUGAGGAAGGUGGGGAUGACGUCAAAUCAGCACGGCCCUUACGUCCGGGGCUACACACGUGUUACAAUGGGGGGUACAGAGGGCCGCUACCACGCGAGUGGAUGCCAAUCCCCAAAACCUCUCUCAGUUCGGACUGGAGUCUGCAACCCGACUCCGCGAAGCUGGAUUCGCUAGUAAUCGCGCAUCAGCCACGGCGCGGUGAAUACGUUCCCGGGCCUUGUACACACCGCCCGUCAAGCCAUGGGAGCCGGGGGUACCUGAAGUGCGUAACCGCGAGGAGCGCCCUAGGGUAAAACUGGUGACUGGGGCUAAGUCGUAACAAGGUAGCCGUACCGGAAGGUGCGGCUGGAUCACCUC